GACGAACGCUGGCGGCGUGCUUAACACAUGCAAGUCGAACGGAAAGGCCUUUUCGGAGGUACUCGAGUGGCGAACGGGUGAGUAACACGUGGGUGAUCUGCCCUGCACUCUGGGAUAAGCCUGGGAAACUGGGUCUAAUACCGGAUAGGACCGCACUUUAGUGUGUGUGGUGGAAAGUUUUUUCGGUGUAGGAUGAGCCCGCGGCCUAUCAGCUUGUUGGUGGGGUAAUGGCCUACCAAGGCGGCGACGGGUAGCCGGACUGAGAGGUUGGUCGGCCACAUUGGGACUGAGAUACGGCCCAGACUCCUACGGGAGGCAGCAGUGGGGAAUAUUGCACAAUGGGCGCAAGCCUGAUGCAGCGACGCCGCGUGGGGGAUGACGGCCUUCGGGUUGUAAACUCCUUUCGCCAGGGACGAAGCGUUUUGUGACGGUACCUGGAGAAGAAGCACCGGCUAACUACGUGCCAGCAGCCGCGGUAAUACGUAGGGUGCAAGCGUUGUCCGGAAUUACUGGGCGUAAAGAGCUCGUAGGUGGUUUGUCACGUCGUCUGUGAAAUUCCACAGCUUAACUGUGGGCGUGCAGGCGAUACGGGCUGACUUGAGUACUGUAGGGGUAACUGGAAUUCCUGGUGUAGCGGUGAAAUGCGCAGAUAUCAGGAGGAACACCGAUGGCGAAGGCAGGUUACUGGGCAGUUACUGACGCUGAGGAGCGAAAGCAUGGGUAGCAAACAGG
rnacentral:rRNA from 1 species